CCUGGUUCUUGACACUGGACUUACUUAUGGAACGUGAAAUAAGGAAGGCAAUAGACAGGUGUUGCAGGCCGAAAGAAUCUCUGUGUUUAUUUAAAUACAAAGGGUGAUAACAACUCUUUUGAACAUUCUCAGGGAUAGCUGUUUGGAACUGUUCUGGGGAUUGCUGCUUCAGGAAAAAGCACUUGAAGAAUGGAAGAUAAGGAAGCUAUGUCUGAUCACAUUAAAAGCAUUUUUAUCACCAGAAAGCAGCAGAUAGUAAGGAGGAGGACUCUUAAAGGUGUAUUCAUGUUGACUGUUUGGGGAUUUUGUAAAAGACUUUGAGAAGAAGUAAAACACCAAGAGGAAAAGAAUAGGAAGCAGAUGAGAAGUUGAUUACACAUGCCAGCUUGCAUCCUGAUUUGGACUGACCUUCACGACUUGUCAAGAGUAUAUAUUGUUGUUGUCUGGCUAACAUGCUGUAUUCUAUCUUAUGCUCUGAUUAAACUCAACCAACCCACUGUUCUGAUUGCUGUUUCAAAGAGUUAUAUCAAUAACAUUUCUGCCUUCCACAUUACCAAAAUGUCCAAUAAAACAUUGAAUCACCUGUUGGAAUA